AGGACGAACGCUGGCGGCGUGCUUAACACAUGCAAGUCGAGCGGUAAGGCCUUUCGGGGUACACGAGCGGCGAACGGGUGAGUAACACGUGGGUGAUCUGCCCUGCACUUCGGGAUAAGCCUGGGAAACUGGGUCUAAUACCGGAUAUGACCUCCUAUCGCAUGGUGGGUGGUGGAAAGAUUUAUCGGUGCAGGAUUGGGACCCGCGGCCUAUCAGUCUUGGUUGGUGGGGUAAUGGACCUAACCAAGGCGACGACGGGUAGCCGACCUGAGAGGGUGACCGGCCACACUGGGACUGAGACACGGCCCCAGACUCCUACGGGAGGCAGGCAGGUGGGAAUAUGCACAAUGGGCGAAAGCUGAUGCAGCGACGCGCGUGAGGAUGACGGCCUGGUUGUAACUCUU
rnacentral:rRNA from 1 species